rnacentral:tRNA from 1 species
GCAUCCGUAGCUCAGCGGAUCAGAGCGGCAGUUUGCGAAACUGCAGGUCGAAGGUUCAAGUCCUUCCGGAUGCCCCA